UCUCAAGCCAUUUAAGAACUGUUAAAGAAGGCUGCCCUACUCUUCCCAGAGACUGCAAUUAUCCUAUGUUGAGAAACACAAAUUUUAAGGAACAGCAAACUCGUGGAACCUGUUGGAGAUUUCAUCCAGGGAAAGAGAAGAAAUGGACCCCAGUGAACAAAUGACACUGCCUCUUGGAACCCAGCCCUCGUGUUUUGAGAAGUUCAAGCUGCAUGGUACAGUCACAUGCAGGCCUGCCUGCUAGCCAGCACCAACUACCAGCCUUUCAAGUGAGUCUUUGAGUUCCCAGAUGACUACAGUCCCAGCUGAUAACUUAUGGAGCAAAAGAACCAACCAACUUGACCUGGUCAGCCCGAGAACCAUGACAGAUAAUAAAACAGUUGUUACA